rnacentral:rRNA from 1 species
GGAGCCAAUCCCAGAAAACCGAAUCGUAGUCCGGAUUGCAGUCUGCAACUCGACUGCAUGAAGUCGGAAUCGCUAGUAAUCGCGGAUCAGCAUGCCGCGGUGAAUACGUUCCCGGGUCUUGUACACACCGCCCGUCAAACAAUGGGAGUGGUGUUUACCAGAAGUCGUUAGCCUAACCGCAAGGAGGGCGGCGACCACGGUGAGCACCGUGACUAAUGUUAAGUCGUAACAAGGUAAC